CUCAAACUUAUCUUUUUUUUCUCUCUUCUUUUACACCACGAAUUCUUUGUUUUUGUAAUUGUAAAUGAAACACAAUAUUUCUUGGUCUAGGAAACAACAAAUUUGACAGAUGGUACAUUGUAGUGAAGACCGUUUUUUCAUCCUUGAACCUGGAAAGUUGGUAGUAGAGAAUGUAACUGGCGCACCUAUAAAUUCUUAGUACUGCAACAAAGAAAAAAUCAAUGAGUAAAAUGAUAUUCUAAAAUCUAUUUUCAUGAAUUUUUUUGUCUAAACUUAAAAACUUCCUAGAAGUAUAAUUUUUUUAGAGAGAUAAAUCACCUUACACGUAAUAAACAAUUGACUCGGACAGACAAAUUGUCUAAGCUCAACCCAUCUGCCUCUGCAUCAACAAAUGAAAGAGUCAAAAAUUAAUUUAAAACUUAUUAUCCAAAUGACCAAAAAAAAAAAAUACAUUUUUAAUAAUUUUUUAACACAAAUAUAAGUCAAUACUUGCCAAAAACUAAGCAGCCCCUUGAAUUAUUAAACUUUUACAAAUGGUUCGCCAUUGGUAGAAUUUUCAGGACUCUUAUCUGCAGGUUGUUUUACAUCUCCUUGUUCUUCUUGCCUGCAAUUAUAACCAACAUUUACAUGACUUUAUACUCAUAUAUAUAAACAAAUGGUUUUUUUUUUGUUUUUUUGUUUUUAAAGAAAUCAUUGUAAUUAAUAGCAUUUAUUUUUCUUAAGGUUUAUCUCAUUUCAAUAAUUUUAUGUAUUAUAUGCUUCAAUUAAUUUCAAAGGGUUUUGCAUAUGCUCUAACUUCUAACACAUGAUCUUCCACAAACAUCCCAUGACAUGUAUGUGUGACAAUCUCUAACUUAGAAUAUGUAUAGGCCACCAUAUAUAAUCCCAAGUUGCAUAUUAACAAAAUAGAAAUAUUAAUUAUUAUUAUUAUUAUAAAAAAAAAAAUAUUAAUGCAAUGCAUAUAUGCAAUUGACAACAAUAUUGAUAUCCCCUUAUAAAUAUGAUGAUCAAGGUUUUAUAAUGCCUAGUGGUGGGUUUCCAAUUAAGAACCCUAUUAUUAAUUCAUAAAAAUGUUACAUGAAUGAAUGCAAUGUUUAUUAUUUAUAAGAAUAAUAACAUAAUAAAUAAACAAAAUUAUAACAUGGUUUUUUCAUUUUGAAGAAAUGAACAAAGAAGAAGAAGAAGAAGAAGAAAAUGAUGAAGGAUGAGAUACUUUUUUUGGGCGGCUUCGGCAGCUCUAGCGCGUGCUUCUUCAGAGGCUAAUCUUUCUUCCUCCUUUGUCAUACGCUUGUUGCCCCCGACGAAGCAACCAAAGCACAACCCCAUGUUUUCUUUCCCCCUCUCUCGCCCUUGUCUUUGUCCUCAAUAUCUAUCUCUUUCCUUUCUUGUCUGGCCUUUACGCCUCUACAACCUGUUUUGUCUUCCUUUUUCAAAAAAUUGAAUGUCUUUCCCUUUUUUGUUGGGGUUUGUGUUUCCUUCUAUUGUGAAUGGGGACGAUGAUGAGUAACAUACUAUAUUAAUAUUGACGUUAACAACAAUUUUUUAACGUAAAAUGCCAAUGUGUUUUGCAUGUUCUAUUCUAUCAAAAUUUGUUUUGUCAUUCCGCGUUAAAUUUGUGGCAAUCAUCCACUUAAUUAG
rnacentral:lncRNA from 1 species